UUUCUUCUUUCCUUCUUCGUUUCCAGUGCCGCCCGGCCCCGGCUGUCGGACUAUUUCUCCGAUCAAAUUUCCGGUAAGAGUCAUUGAUUUAUAAUCUCUCAUCGCGGUGGUCUUCAAACAUAUGACUGAAACAAAGUGAAAAAGAAAAUAAAGAAGAGAUGCUAGGAAUUUCAUACGGAGAGCUUUUUCUCUUGCUUGGCG
rnacentral:misc_RNA from 1 species